GAUGAACGCUGGCGGCGUGCCUAAUACAUGCAAGUCGAGCGAAUGGAUUAAGAGCUUGCUCUUAUGAAGUUAGCGGCGGACGGGUGAGUAACACGUGGGUAACCUGCCCAUAAGACUGGGAUAACUCCGGGAAACCGGGGCUAAUACCGGAUAACAUUUUGAACCGCAUGGUUCGAAAUUGAAAGGCGGCUUCGGCUGUCACUUAUGGAUGGACCCGCGUCGCAUUAGCUAGUUGGUGAGGUAACGGCUCACCAAGGCAACGAUGCGUAGCCGACCUGAGAGGGUGAUGGGCCACGCUGGGACUGAGAAACGGCCCAGAGUCCUACGGGAGGCAGCAGUGGGGAAUCUUCCGCAAUGGACGAAAGUCUGACGGAGCAACGCCGCGUGAGUGAUGAAGGCUUUCGGGUCGUAAAACUCUGUUGUUAGGGAAGAACAAGUGCUAGUUGAAUAAGCUGGCACCUUGACGGUACCUAACCAGAAAGCCACGGCUAACUACGUGCCAGCCGCCGCAGUAA
rnacentral:rRNA from 1 species